GUCCCUGUAGCACAAUGGACAACGCAUUGGACUUCUGAUCCAAAUGUCGUGGGUUUGAAUCUCAUCUGGGAUG